UCCAGGGUAGCCGAUGGACAAGGCACCUGCCCGGUAAGCAGAAGGGUGUGGGUUCGAUUCCCGCCCCUGGAC
rnacentral:tRNA from 1 species